GUGGUCAUAGUAUAGUGGUAAGUACGAGUCGUUGUGGCUUCGCAGCUCCGACUAGACCCAGGUCCGAUUCCUGGUGACCACA